UACGUAGGAUCCGAGCGUUAUCCGGAGUGACUGGGCGUAAAGAGUUGCGUAGGUGGUGUGUAAAGCGAAUAGUGAAAUCUGGUGGCUCAACCAUACAGGCUAUUAUUCGAACUCACACACUCGAGAACAGCAGAGGUAACUGGAAUUUCUGAAGUAGGGGUAAUAUCCGUAGAUAUCAGAAGGAACACCAAUGGCGUAGGCAGGUUACUGGGCUGUUUCUGACACUGAGGCACGAAAGCGUGGGGAGCGAACCGG
rnacentral:rRNA from 1 species